GCUGGUGUGGCUCAGUGCAUAGAGCAUCAGCCUGAGGACUGAAGGGUUCCAGGUUCAAUUCCUGGUCAGGGCA
rfam:Myotis brandtii contig286870, whole genome shotgun sequence.